rnacentral:rRNA from 1 species
CCUACGGGUGGCAGCAGUGGGGAAUAUUGGACAAUGGGGGGAACCCUGAUCCAGCCAUGCCGCGUGUGUGAAGAAGGCCCUCGGGUUGUAAAGCACUUUCAGUGAGGAAGAACGCCUGGUGGUUAAUACCCAUCAGGAAAGACAUCACUCACAGAAGAAGCACCGGCUAACUCCGUGCCAGCAGCCGCGGUAAUACGGAGGGUGCGAGCGUUAAUCGGAAUUACUGGGCGUAAAGCGCGCGUAGGUGGCUUGAUAAGCCGGUUGUGAAAGCCCCGGGCUCAACCUGGGAACGGCAUCCGGAACUGUCAAGCUAGAGUGCAGGAGAGGAAGGUAGAAUUCCCGGUGUAGCGGUGAAAUGCGUAGAGAUCGGGAGGAAUACCAGUGGCGAAGGUGGCCUUCUGGACUGACACUGACACUGAGGUGCGAAAGCGUGGGUAGCAAACAGGAUUAGAUACCCCAGUAGUC